CAGUAGCCGCGGUAAUACGUAGGGUGCGAGCGUUAAUCGGAAUUACUGGGCGUAAAGCGUGCGCAGGCGGUUAUAUAAGACAGAUGUGAAAUCCCCGGGCUCAACCUGGGACCUGCAUUUGUGACUGUAUAGCUAGAGUACGGUAGAGGGGGAUGGAAUUCCGCGUGUAGCAGUGAAAUGCGUAGAUAUGCGGAGGAACACCGAUGGCGAAGGCAAUCCCCUGGACCUGUACUGACGCUCAUGCACGAAAGCGUGUGGAGCAAACAGGAUUAGAUACCCCCGUAGUCCCUGUCUCUUAUAC
rnacentral:rRNA from 1 species